AGAGUUUGAUCCUGGCUCAGAUUGAACGCUGGCGGCAUGCCUUACACAUGCAAGUCGAACGGCAGCACGGGAGCAAUCCUGGUGGCGAGUGGCGAACGGGUGAGUAAAGUAUCGGAACGUGCCCAGUCGUGGGGGAUAACGUAGCGAAAGUUACGCUAAUACCGCAUACGAUCUAUGGAUGAAAGCGGGGGAUCGCAAGACCUCGCGCGAUUGGAGCGGCUGAUAUCAGAUUAGGUAGUUGGUGGGGUAAAGGCUCACCAAGCCGACGAUCUGUAGCUGGUCUGAGAGGACGACCAGCCACACUGGGACUGAGACACGGCCCAGACUCCUACGGGAGGCAGCAGUGGGGAAUUUUGGACAAUGGGCGCAAGCCUGAUCCAGCCAUGCCGCGUGCAGGAUGAAGGCCUUCGGGUUGUAAACUGCUUUUGUACGGAACGAAAAGGUUUGGCCUAA
rnacentral:rRNA from 1 species